CCUACGGGCGGCAGCAGUGAGGAAUAUUGGUCAAUGGACGAGAGUCUGAACCAGCCAAGCCGCGUGAAUGAUGACUGCCCUAUGGGUUGUAAACUUCUUUUAUAUGGGAAUAAAAUGUUCCACGUGUGGGAUUUUGUAUGUAUCAUAUGAAUAAGGAUCGGCUAACUCCGUGCCAGCAGCCGCGGUAAUACGGAGGAUCCGAGCGUUAUCCGGAUUUAUUGGGUUUAAAGGGAGCGUAGGCGGAUUGUUAAGUCAGUUGUGAAAGUUUGUGGCUUAACCGUAAAAUUGCAGUUGAAACUGGCCGUCUUGAGUGCAGUAGAGGUGAGCGGAAUUCGUGGUGUAGCGGUGAAAUGCUUAGAUAUCACGAAGAACUCCGAUUGCGAAGGCAGCUUACUGGACUGCAACUGACACUGAGGCUCGAAAGUGUGGGUAUCAAACAGGAUUAGAUACCCCUGUAGUC
rnacentral:rRNA from 1 species